rnacentral:rRNA from 1 species
NNNNNNNNNNNNNNNNNNUUACCCAAAACGGGGGCCCACAAUUUGGCGUUUCAUCUUCUAAGGGUCGGUUUUGGAAUGUGAAGGGUUUUCCAUUGUUUCUCAAUAAUAAAUAGGCCUUCGAGCCUCAUUGUAACACAAGUUCGGAACAGUUCAGAGACAUGUAGCCGCACAUCUCUUCUCAGAGAUAAGCUACCAUAGUCCUAGCUGGUUUAUUUCAAAUUCUGGUUGUAAGCAUAUUUCGGUAUUUUCCAUUAAUGAAAUGAAGUGUUAUUUCCGCUGCAUCUCUUUAUUUAUGGUUAUCGCAUCUCUGUAUUUAUGGUUAUCUCUGUAAUCUAUUGCGUUCCUAUUUAAAUCCGGAUCAGUAAUCGUCUAAAGCUGGCAGAACUAUACUUGGCCGAUGAUGAUAUAGCACGAUCAGCCAAACUUAGUCGCAGAUGCUGGAACACCAGGAACAACAUGAAGAGCUUUAAGGAACAGUUGAGAUUUACCAAAUCAACAACAACAACGGAAGAACCAAGGAUAGUACAAGGACCCCGAGGAGAUAGACGAAGACUACCAGUUUUGCAACAGCGGAAGGAUCCGAUUAAACAAAGGAUGACAAAGAUAUACAUUGUUGUAACAGUAUGCUAUAACAGGAAUUGAUUUCCUAUUUUUUGUACAGAAGGAUCAAACUGAAUGAAUAAUGACAAUCUAUUGUAAUAGAUGUCUCCUCUAUAAAGAGGAGACAUCUAUAGUUGAAAGCUAGAAAGAUAUAACGGAAGUAUUGUAGUGCAGAGCAGUCUGAACUUCUAUUGUAAUUGGACUUUUUGGCAGAUGAAUAAAGCACUGUUCUGAGCAUUUUAACUUAGCAUCUGUGUUCAGGGGAAUCUUGUGAGAGGGACAAGGCCCACCUUCUUCACAAGAUUCAUCCAUUUCUUUCUUGUUAAGUGUGUGUGUGAUUUCUGUACAUUUUUAGCCUUGCUUCUGAUAUUUCCUUUUUGCUGAUACUCUGUUUCCUUGAUCGAUUGGCACUGUGAGUAGUGUGUCACCGGUGAUUAGGAUUUUUCAGUGUGUAUUGGCAACUGGUCACAGAGGCAGGUGCUGGACAUCCUUAUUCUGAGGACAAGGUCCUGGUCCUCUGUUACAAAUGACCAUUAUUUCUUUCUGCGGAUUUGUUACCAUUAAUUAAUUUCCUUUCAUCUCUGCAAUAGUUUAUAACUGCUGUAACAAAGAGUAAGGGUUUGAUAGGAAGUAGAUCUGUUUAUACUACAGCCUUUAAUUCUUUUAGAAUUAAGUGCAUAUAGUACGAGGUCACCUUUGAAACAAAAGGACUUUCCCGGGUUGACAAUUUAAUGUGGUACUCGACUGUUUAAUCAAUAAACAAUUCGAGUAGCCAACAUUUUCCAUCCUCAACCCCUUCCCAAUAAAAGGGGUAAGGAUCAAUUAGUGAGACAAUGGGGCUUCCCCAUGCCAUUCUACUAGGAAAAGAUUGAAUGACCUUCAACAAAUGAGUACAUGUACAUGAAACUGGCACAGGUAGGUAGGUAGAGAAUAACAUAGGGGCGUGAGACAAUUCUCUAUAAGGAACUUGGAAAAAUAGCCAUGUAACUUCAGGAGAAGGGGUACCUCCUUAGGGGCUCGUAGUGACGAGGUCCGUACAUCUGUUGACCAAAAACACAGGUCUCUGUAAAGUCGCAAGACCAUGCGUGGGGGUUGACACCUGCCUAGUGCUAGAAGGUUAAGGAAGUUGGUGACCUGAUGAUGGGGAAGUUAGUGAUUGAAGCCCCAGUGAACGAAAGUCAUAAAUAUAACAGUGUUAGGUAGAGAAAUUCCUUUUUGGGUAAGUUCCAACUUGCAUAAAAGGCAUAACAAUCUGGGCAUUGUCUCGGAGAGAGACUCGAUGAAAUAAACAUGUUUGUGAAGAUGUGGGCUGCCUACACCUGGACAGAAAGACCCUAAAGCUUUAUUUUUCCCUGGGAUUGUCUUUGUGUUCCUCUUCCCCGACUUAGGUGGAGGGCAAAGAAGGCCCCCUUUCAGGGGGGCCUGAGUCACUAGUGAGAUACCACUCUAGAAGAGCUAGAAUUCUAACUUUGCAUUAUUACUUAUGGGCCAACGAACAGUCUCAGGUAGAGAGUUUCUAUGGGGCAUAGGCCUCUGAAAUGGUAACGAAGGCAAGCAAAUGUUUUCUUGGGAUAGAUGGAAAUCAACCCUCAAGUGCAAAGGUGGAAGGGAGCUUGACUGCAAGACCCACCUGUCAAGUAGGGACAAAAGUCAGCCUUAGUGAUCUGACGGUGUUGAGUGGAAGGAUUGUCCCUAAAUGGAUAAAAAUUACUCUUGGGAUAACAUGGUUAUAUUCCCUAAUAUUUGACAUUAAGAGGAAGGUUUGGCACCUCGAAGUUGGCUCUUCACCACCUGGUGUAGUAGUACGUUCCAAGGGUUGUGUUGUUCGCCCAUUAAAGCAGUAUGUGAGUUCCGUUCAGAAUGGCAUGAGAUAGUUCAUUCCAUAUCCGAUGUGGGCAUUAGAGCAUUAAGAGGACCUUUCCCUAGUACGAGAGGAUUAGGAAGGACACACCUGUGGGGUACCAGUUAUCAUGCCCACGAUAGACAUUGGGUAGCAAAGUGCAAAGAGGAUAACUAUUGAAAGCAUAUAAGUAGAAAUUCCACCCCAAGAUAAGUGCUCUCUUAUUCUUACUUCCCUGAGAUCCCCUAGUCACAAACACAUUUGGGACAACGACAAUUUCUUUGUCCUUGCAGGGGAUGGAGCAACAAAAGUAUUAAGAAUACAAGACAAGGUC